UACGAAGGGGGCUAGCGUUGCUCGGAAUCACUGGGCGUAAAGGGUGCGUAGGCGGGGCUUUAAGUCAGGGGUGAAAUCCUGGAGCUCAACUCCAGAACUGCCUUUGAUACUGAAGAUCUUGAGUCCGGGAGAGGUGAGUGGAACUGCGAGUGUAGAGGUGAAAUUCGUAGAUAUUCGCAAGAACACCAGUGGCGAAGGCGGCUCACUGGCCCGAUACUGACGCUGAGGCACGAAAGCGUGGGGAGCAAACAGG
rnacentral:rRNA from 1 species